UGGCAAUAACAUGUUGAAACACUGGUUCUCAUACAAUCACUGAAGUUAAGCAACGUCAAGCCUGGUCAGUAUCUAGAUUUGGGACCGCUUGGGAAUACCAGGUGCUGUAAG